rnacentral:rRNA from 1 species
UACAGGGGGGGCAAGCGUUGUUCGGAAUUACUGGGCGUAAAGGGCUCGUAGGCGGCCAACUAAGUCACACGUGAAAUCCCCAGGCUUAACCUGGGAACUGCGUGUGAUACUGGAUGGCUUGAAUUCGGGAGAGGGAUGCAGAAUUCCAGGUGUAGCGGUGAAAUGCGUAGAUAUCUGGAGGAAUACCGGUGGCGAAGGCGGCAUCCUGGACCGGCAUUGACGCUGAGGAGCGAAAGCCAGGGGAGCAAACGGG